rnacentral:rRNA from 1 species
GACGAACCGUGCGAACGUUGUUCGGAAUCACUGGGCUUAAAGGGCGCGUAGGCGGCUCGCGAGGUCGGGGGUGAAAUCCCGCAGCUUAACUGCGGAAGGGCCUCCGAUACCGGCGGGCUGGAGGAAGGUAGGGGUGCGCGGAACUUCUGGUGGAGCGGUGAAAUGCGUUGAUAUCAGAAGGAACGCCGGCGGCGAAAGCGGCGCACUGGACCUUUUCUGACGCUGAGGCGCGAAAGCUAGGGAGCAAACGGG